rnacentral:tRNA from 1 species
CGGUAGGAAAUUGGUAGGACGGUUUAUUGAGAACCGCUAUAAUCGAGGGACAGAAGGGAUUAGAAGAUUUUCUGAACUUCGUUCGGGACGAAGGGGCCGUGGGUUCGAAUCCCGCCAUCCCGA